CUGACACAGGGAGGUAGUGACAAUAAAUAACAAUGCCGGGCCAUCAUUGGUCUGGCAAUUGGAAUGAGAACAAUUUAAAUCCCUUAUCGAGGAUCAAUUGGAGGGCAAGUCUGGUGCCAGCAGCCGCGGUAAUUCCAGCUCCAAUAGCGUAUAUUAAAGUUGUUGCAGUUAAAAAGCUCGUAGUUGGAUUUGUGGCGUACGGUGUGUUCCGGGCACUUGUUGUCUGAGUAACCUGCUGUUGCCAUCCUUGGGUGGAACCUGUGUGGCAUUAGGUUGUCGUGCAGGGGAUGCCCAUCAUUUACUGUGAAAAAAUUAGAGUGUUCAAAGCAGGCUUAUGCCGUUGAAUAUAUUAGCAUGGAAUAAUGAGAUAGGACUUUUUUGCUAUUUUGUUGGUUUGCGCAAAGAGGUAAUGAUUAAUAGGGACAGUUGGGGGUAUUCGUAUUCCAUUGUCAGAGGUGAAAUUCUUGGAUUUUUGGAAGACGAACUACUGCGAAAGCAUUUACC
rnacentral:rRNA from 1 species